rnacentral:lncRNA from 1 species
CUUUCAUGUCGACAUGACAAGGGAAGUCCUAUCUGGUGGAGAGACUUCCGAUCACUUCAACAUCUCCAAUGGUGUGAAACAAGGCUGUGUCCUCGCUCCGGUACUAUUCAACCUAUUUUUCACCCGAGUAUUACGACAUGCUGUGAUGGAUCUAGACCUGGGCGUCUACAUCAAAUACUGACUGGAUGGCUCACUAUUUGACCUUUGCCGCCUGACUGCAAAAACAAAGACAACAGAGAGACUCAUCCUGGAAGCUCUCUUCGCAGAUGACUGUGCUCUCAUGGCCCACCAAGAAAAUCAUCUCCAAACCAUUGUGGACAGGUUCUCCACCGCAACAAAACUGUUUGGCCUGACUAUCAGCCUCAGCAAAACAGAGGUGCUGUUCCAACCUGCACCAGGGAGGCCAACGAACCAGCCGUGCAUUACAAUCGACAGCACGCAGCUUUCUAACAUCAACACCUUCAAGUACCUGGGCAGCACCAUCGCCAACGACGGAUCCCUAGACCACGAGAUCAAUGCCAGGAUCCAAAAGGCCAGCCAGGCACUCGGGCGGCUGUGCUCCAAAGUCCUCCAACACAGAGGUGUAAGCACUGCGACGAAGCUCAAAGUGUAUAACGCAGUGGUCCUCAGCUCGCUCCUGUACGGUUGUGAGACAUGGACGCUGUACUGGGAGCACAUGAAACAGCUGGAGCAAUUCCACCAACGCUCCCUCCAGUCAAUCAUGAGGAUCCAAUGGCAGGACCGAAUCACCAAUCAGGAAGUCCUCGACAGAGCCAACUCCACCAGCAUCGAAGUCAUGGUCCUCCAAACCCAGCUACGAUGGUCUGGACACGUCAUCCGCAUGGACGCACAGCGAAUACCAAGACAGGUAUUCUAUGGUGAACUGUCAGCUGGACUCAGGAAACAAGGCCGACCAAAGAAAAGAUUCAAGGAUCAGCUAAAGUCCAACUUGAAGUGGGCUGGCAUUACACCAAAGCAACUAGAACUCGCUGCCUCUGACAGAAGCAGCUGGUGAACCCACAUUAACCAUGCCGCC